GACGGGGGGUCCAAGCGUUGUUCGGAAUCAUUGGGCGUAAAGCGGGCGUAGGUGGUCUUGCAAGUCAGGAGUGAAAGCCCUGGGCUCAACCCAGGAAGUGCUUUUGAAACUGCAAGACUUGAAUGUGGGAGAGGGCAGUAGAAUUCCUGGUGUAGUGGUGAAAUACGUAGAUAUCAGGAGGAAUACCGGUGGCGAAGGCGGCUACCUGGCCCAACAUUGACACUGAGGCCCAAAAGCGUGGGGAUCAAACAGG
rnacentral:rRNA from 1 species